UGGACAUAUCACAUUGAAACAACGGUGGUUCUCGUCUGAUCACUGGCGUUAAGUAGCAUUGAGCCUGGUCAAUACGUGGAUGGGUGACCACUUGGGAAUAACAAGUACUGUAAG